rnacentral:rRNA from 1 species
AUGGCGUUUCCCUCUGGAUCCCUCUCUCUUUCACUCAGUUUCCUCCUCUCUCUCACACACUUGGUUCACAGGAACGUCGCCAUGGCCGCCGCGUCGACUUUGUCUCCACCAAAGCCCCGCCGACGACCAGCACCCGACGCCGGCAAGCAGCAGCAGCAGCAGCUCCCGCAACCCCUCGUUCCCAAGCACGUCAAACCGUCGCCUCUUGCUCGCUCUAUUUCUAUGCCUAUGCCGCGAUACCUACCACUUCCUAUAUCAUGCCUCCCAUUUUGCCAUGACAAGCCUCUAACCCACCUUCCCUAG